UGUUACAGGGCGUCUUGUCACUUUAAAUCUAAAUAAGCUGCUGCUGGCCACGCCCCCAAACUCAACGUUUACACUCAAACAUGAAAAUAGCUGCAAAGAGUUGCGAAAUUAUACAACCAUACAUCUUUGAAAAGCAGAAGUGGAGCCUCCUACACAACCAUUAGCAAGUUGAAGCAACUGGA